CCCUCCCCAUCCCCUCCCCUCCCCGAUCCCCUUCCCCUUUCCACCGUGAGCAGCCCCUCCGAGGACAGCGGGCAUCGCAGAGGCAUUCUCCCCCUCGCCUUCCUCCCGAGACGCAGCCUCUUCGCCCUCCGCCGCACAGGACGACGCUUCCGAGCACACUCUCCUCCCACGCACCGGGACUCCCCUGCGCCUCAGUGCCCUGAGAAGUGGCGACCUCGCCUCGGCACUCGCAAGCGCAACCCUUGUCGCCACAGUCACCGCCAGUGGCCUCUUGGCAGCAGGAGGCAGCGUCCAUGGUCGGGGGCGUCGAUGGGAAGGAGAAGCUGCGCCACGGAGGAGAAGCUGCGCCAGCGGCAGGCCGUCUCAGAUAAACACAAUUCAUCACCCGCCAUCCUCACCAUUGCCAUCAUGUGCUGCCCUCACCCUUGCCAUGGAGCCGGCGGUGCCUGCGCUGCUGGUGGGGCUCGGCAAGGACGACCACCGCGAGGGGCUACACCCGACGCCGAAGCACAUCGCCAAGGCCUUCCGUGACGGCAACCAAGAUCAAGAGUUGGAGAUUGUGCUGCUCUGCUAAAAGUUUGAAGAAGGUGAAGUUGUGGUGUUUUGCUUGUUAGAGUUUGCACUUUGAGUUUCUGUUCAACUGCUCCUAUGCGAUUGUUGUCUUCUCAAUCUGUCUCAACAACCAUGGCUGGGCAAACAGGCAAGGUAAUGAAAUGAAAUAUGAUAGAUAAGAACUCAGUAGGUGAAGCAACAAAAGAGAAGCUACUGGCGUCUUAUCAGCAGCAAGAGUCUCCAGCUUCUGUGAUGGUCUGAUACUGAUGGACAAUGAUUCUUCAGUUGUCUCUUUACUUCUUUAGUUUCUAAUAAUGAUGAGUCACCGGUUCUAGAUGGGGACUCUGAUGAGUUCAAAGUGGAGGAAAACUUGGAUGGUAAUGGGAAUAAGGAAAAGAAAACGUCUUAGAAGAUCAGUAUAGGUGACGGCUUUGCUUCUUCAUAAGACCAUUUUUCAUCUAAAAGUCUGGCGUCUGGCCCGAAACCGUGAAGCUGCUAGGAAAAAUAGUCUAAGAAAAAAGGUAGAAGAGAAGCAAUAUUACCCAUGUGAGAGGCACAUAUAUUUGAAUCUGUAUAUAGGAUGAUAUAGAGAUAUGAUGGAACUUAUUCGUAGAAUUAUUAGUGCACGAAAGAAAUAGAUAUACUAGAGAAAGAUUACAGUAGAGUUUGUGAGCCUACGACAUCGCACUCUCUGUGACUAUAUUAAUUUUACGAAUUUUGUUUUUUA